UCAGUUGUGAAAGUUUGCGGCUCAACCGUAAAAUUGCAGUUGAAACUGGCAGUCUUGAGUACAGUAGAGGUGGGCGGAAUUCGUGGUGUAGCGGUGAAAUGCUUAGAUAUCACGAAGAACUCCGAUUGCGAAGGCAGCUCACUAGACUGUUACUGACACUGAUGCUCGAAAGUGUGGGUAUCAAACAGGAUUAGAUACCCUGGUAGUCCACACAGUAAACGAUGAAUACUCGCUGUUUGCGAUAUACAGUAAGCGGCCAAGCGAAAGCAUUAAGUAUUCCACCUGGGGAGUACGCCGGCAACGGUGAAACUCAAAGGAAUUGACGGGGGCCCGCACAAGCGGAGGAACAUGUGGUUUAAUUCGAUGAUACGCGAGGAACCUUACCCGGGCUUAAAUUGCAACAGAAUAUAUUGGAAACAGUAUAGCCGUAAGGCUGUUGUGAAGGUGCUGCAUGGUUGUCGUCAGCUCGUGCCGUGAAGUGUCGGCUUAAG
rnacentral:rRNA from 1 species